CCACACCUGCUCACUUAUACCGACGGCAACACGAAUACCUUUCCUUACGGAGCGAAUCUCUCGACCUGCCGUUGGAUGAAUGUGCCUUUGGAUGAAAGCAAAGCUGAGUGAAGCUUCCUUUGACUCAUCCUUGAGAGCUGGGUCAAAGCUGAAGCCCCAAGCUGAAGCUCCUGGAUAGGCUUUUAGCGCUUCGUUAACAACAACAAAAAGCAGUGACCUUCAGACAUACUGUAACAGAGCCUACAGCAGCUGAGGAGUGCCAGCUGAGUUACACGCGGAGAAGAGUGCCAGCUGAGUUACACGCGGAGAAGAGUGCCAGCUGAGUUACCACGGAGAAGAGUGCCAGGCACCCGAGGAAGGUCGUUAGGCAGGCUGAAUCAGGGCAUCUUCCUUCUCGUGAGACGCGCGGCCGAUGAAAGAUCUCCCGAAGGCGUGGAUGCUUGAGAAGUCUUAUCAGCUGAGUUCGCUGAUGCCCUUCCUCGGGAGCCUUUGCCCAGACCAGUCGCAUCUUCCACAUGGUCACGGUCCGGCAGAGCAGCCUGUGUAUCACCCGCCCGGAUGAAGGGAGGGGAGGGGAGGUGGCGGCGGGUCAUGGGCGGGGUAGGGUUAAGGGUGGGUGUGGGGGGGGGGGAGUCUGACAUGCGGCAACAAAGCACUGGGACGGAUAUGCUCUUAGCCCGGAUGCCUGCUACAAGCGGCCCAGGCUAGUAGUAAUUGUCCUCCCCCCCUUCCCCCCUCCCCACUCCCCCUCCCCCCUUC
rnacentral:misc_RNA from 1 species